rnacentral:tRNA from 1 species
AGGGGCGUCGGUUAAUGGUAAACCACGGGUCUCCAAAACCCGGACUGUCGGUUCGAUUCCGACCGCCCCUGCCA